rnacentral:rRNA from 1 species
CUACGGGGCGCAGCAGUCGCGAAAACUUUGCAAUACACGAAAGUGUGACAGGGCUAUCCCGAGUGCCAUCCGCUGAGGAAGGCUUUUACCCAGUCUAGAACGCUGGGGGAAUAAGGAGAGGGCAAGUCUGGUGUCAGCCGCCGCGGUAAUACCAGCUCUCGGAGUGGUGUGGAUGUUUAUUGGGCCUAAAGCAUCCGUAGCUGGCUAAGUUAGUCCCUUGUUAAAUCCACCGAAUUAAUCGUUGGAUCGCGGGGGAUACUGCUUGGCUAGGGGACGAGAGAGGCAGACGGUAUUUUCGGGGUAGGGGUGAAAUCCUAUAAUCCCGGGAAGACCACCAGUGGCGAAGGCUGUCUGCUAGAACGCGCCCGACGGUGAGGGAUGAAAGCUGGGGGAGCGAACCGGAUUAGAUACCCGGGUAGUCCCAGCUGUAAACGAUGCAGGCUAGGUGUUUGGACGGCCACGUGCCGUUCUAGUGCCGCAGGGAAGCUGUUAAGCCUGCCGCCUGGGGAGUACGAUCGCAAGAUUGAAACU